rnacentral:rRNA from 1 species
AGAGUUUGAUCCUGGCUCAGGAUGAACGCUGGCGGCGUGCUUAACACAUGCAAGUCGAACGAUGAUCUCCAGCUUGCUGGGGGGAUUAGUGGCGAACGGGUGAGUAACACGUGAGUAACCUGCCCUUGACUCUGGGAUAAGCCUGGGAAACUGGGUCUAAUACCGGAUACGACCAUCUGACGCAUGUCACGGUGGUGGAAAGCUUUUGCGGUUUUGGAUGGACUCGCGGCCUAUCAGCUUGUUGGUGGGGUAAUGGCCUACCAAGGCGACGACGGGUAGCCGGCCUGAGAGGGUGACCGGCCACACUGGGACUGAGACACGGCCCAGACUCCUACGGGAGGCAGCAGUGGGGAAUAUUGCACAAUGGGCGAAAGCCUGAUGCAGCGACGCCGCGUGAGGGAUGACGGCCUUCGGGUUGUAAACCUCUUUCAGUAGGGAAGAAGCGAAAGUGACGGUACCUGCAGAAGAAGCGCCGGCUAACUACGUGCCAGCAGCCGCGGUAAUACGUAGGGCGCAAGCGUUAUCCGGAAUUAUUGGGCGUAAAGAGCUCGUAGGCGGUUUGUCGCGUCUGCUGUGAAAGACCGGGGCUCAACUCCGGUUCUGCAGUGGGUACGGGCAGACUAGAGUGAUGUAGGGGAGACUGGAAUUCCUGGUGUAGCGGUGAAAUGCGCAGAUAUCAGGAGGAACACCGAUGGCGAAGGCAGGUCUCUGGGCAUUAACUGACGCUGAGGAGCGAAAGCAUGGGGAGCGAACAGGAUUAGAUACCCUGGUAGUCCAUGCCGUAAACGUUGGGCACUAGGUGUGGGGGACAUUCCACGUUUUCCGCGCCGUAGCUAACGCAUUAAGUGCCCCGCCUGGGGAGUACGGCCGCAAGGCUAAAACUCAAAGGAAUUGACGG